rnacentral:rRNA from 1 species
CAGCCGCCGCGGGAAAACAGAGGGUGCAAGCGUUAAUCGGAAUUACUGGGCGUAAAGCGCGCGUAGGUGGUUUGUUAAGUUGGAUGUGAAAUCCCCGGGCUCAACCUGGGAACUGCAUCCAAAACUGGCAAGCUAGAGUAUGGUAGAGGGUGGUGGAAUUUCCUGUGUAGCGGUGAAAUGCGUAGAUAUAGGAAGGAACACCAGUGGCGAAGGCGACCACCUGGACUGAUACUGACACUGAGGUGCGAAAGCGUGGGGAGCAAACAGGAUUAGAUACCCCAGUAGUCCCUGUCUCUUAUAC